rnacentral:lncRNA from 1 species
CCGCUCGCGAGGAGGGUUGCUAGUGGAGAAGCAACCUUGGCCAUGGACCAGCCGGCUGGCCUGCAGGUGGACUACGUCUUCCGGGGUGUGGAGCAUGCCGUGCGGGUGAUGGUUUCUGGGCAGGUGCUGGAGCUGGAGGUGGAGGACCGGAUGACGGCUGACCAGUGGCGGGGCGAGUUCGAUGCUGGCUGUGAGUGUGCCUGCCUGGGGUGGGCUCACCUUUCCUCUCCUGGGAUCAGCUUCUCCCAG